GUUGUCCAAAAAUAGAAUUUCAGUUCUACCUAAAACUUACCACAAAAACAAAAUAAUUCUAAUGUAAGUUUUAGAGGUAUUCAAAAGGGGUACAGCUCUUUUGACCAAGGAUACAACCUUGAUUAGCGAGUAAAUUCAUCAUUAAUUUCAUAGUUGGCUUGGAAGCAGCCAUCAAUUAAGAAAGCGUUAAAGCUCAACAACUAACCAAACUAAAAAAAUCCCAAAAUUAAUUAAUGAUCUCCUAAACAUAAUACUGGACUAAUCUAUAUAAAUAGAAGAAAUAAUGUUAGUAUAAGUAAUAAGAAGUAUUUCUCCCUGCAUAAGCUUAUAUCAGGUCGGAUGCCCACUGAUAGUUAACAAUCAAAUAAUUAAAUACAAAAAUAAAACCUUUAUUAUACCAAUUGUUAACCCAACACAGGCAUGCUUAAGGGAAAGAUUAAAAGAAGGAAAAGGAACUCGGCAAACAUAAACCCCGCCUGUUUACCAAAAACAUCACCUCGAGCAUUACUAGUAUUCGAGGCACUGCCUGCCCAGUGACCAAGCGUUAAACGGCCGCGGUACUCUG
rnacentral:rRNA from 1 species